rnacentral:rRNA from 1 species
AACGUACGCUGGCGGCACGCCUAACACAUGCAAGUCGAACGAAGUAGCAAUACUUAGUGGCAGACGGGUGAGUAACAUGUGGGUAUCUGCCCUUUGGCCUGGAAUAACACGAGGAAACUUGUGCUAAUACCGGAUAAGUCUUUACGGAGAAAGCUUUAUGCACCAUUGGAUGAGCCCGCACUUGAUUAGUUAGUUGGUAGGGUAAUGGCCUACCAAGACUGUGAUCAAUAGCUGAUUUGAGAGGAUGAUCAGCCACAUUGGGACUGAGACACGGCCCAAACUCCUACGGGAGGCAGCAGUGGGGAAUCUUGCACAAUGGAGGAAACUCUGAUGCAGCGAUGCCGCGUGAGUGAAGAAGGCCUUUGGGUUGUAAAGCUCUUUCGUCGGGGAAGAAAAUGACUGUACCCGAAUAAGAAGGUCCGGCUAACUUCGUGCCAGCAGCCGCGGUAAUACGAAGGGACCUAGCGUAGUUCGGAAUUACUGGGCUUAAAGAGUUCGUAGGUGGUUGAAAAAGUUGGUGGUGAAAUCCCAGAGCUUAACUCUGGAACUGCCAUCAAAACUUUUCAGCUAGAGUAUGAUAGAGGAAAGCAGAAUUUCUAGUGUAGAGGUGAAAUUCGUAGAUAUUAGAAAGAAUACCGAUUGCGAAGGCAGCUUUCUGGAUCAUUACUGACACUGAGGAACGAAAGCAUGGGUAGCGAGGAGGAUUAGAUACCCUCGUAGUCCAUGCCGUAAACGAUGUGUGUUAGACGUUGGAAAUUUAUUUUCAGUGUCGCAGCGAAAGCGAUAAACACACCGCCUGGGGAGUACGACCGCAAGGUUAAAACUCAAAUGAAUUGACGGGGACCCGCACAAGUAGUGGAGCAUGUGGUUUAAUUCGAAGAUACGCGCAGAACCUUACCAACACUUGACAUGUUCGUCGCGACUCUAAGAGAUUAGAGU